rnacentral:rRNA from 2 species
UACAGAGGUCUCAAGCGUUGUUCGGAAUCACUGGGCGUAAAGGGUGCGUAGGUGGCGUGGAAAGUCAGAUGUGAAAUCCGGAGGCUCAACCUCCGAAUUGCAUCCGAUACUCCCAUGCUAGAGAACUGGAGGGGAGUCUGGAAUUCUCGGUGUAGCAGUGAAAUGCGUAGAUAUCGAGAGGAACACUAGUGGCGAAGGCGAGACUCUGGACAGUUUCUGACACUGAUGCACGAAGGUCAGGGGAGCAAACGGG